UACGGAGGGUGCAAGCGUUAUCCGGAUUUACUGGGUUUAAAGGGUGCGCAGGCGGAUAUGUAAGUCAGUGGUGAAAUCUCCGGGCUUAACCCGGAAAUUGCCGUUGAUACUAUAUAUCUUGAAUGCUGUGGAGGUAAGCAGAAUAUGUCAUGUAGCGGUGAAAUGCUUAGAUAUGACAUAGAAUACCUAUUGCGAAGGCAGCUUACUACCCGAAUAUUGACACUGAGGCACGAAAGCGUGGGGAGCAAACAGG
rnacentral:rRNA from 1 species